rnacentral:lncRNA from 1 species
AACUUUAGAAAAUCAUAACUAUUGAUCGAACCGUUCAGUUUGUUCAAAAUUUACAAGAUAGGUAGAAUUUACUCUUAACUUAUACCACACAAAAAACCAACCGCAAAUUCACUCCCAAUCUUCUGGCAUCUAAGAAACCCUAGCAGACACUCCAAACCCUAAUAUACAAGCACCCGAAAAACUAUUUUCCUUAUAUCUCAAAAAUCCGAACUCCAAAUGUCAUAAAACUUAUUCACAAAGUUUACUAACAUGAAAUUACACAUUCCUUGAAAUUUUGAGCCAAAACCUCACAAAAUUGCUCAAGAUAUAGCUCAAGAGACAAACACUAGUAAAUCAGUUUACUUACUACCCUUAGAUUGCAUGUGCUGACUUCAAAAUCCAAUAACUCCUUCAUCCCAACUUGGAAUCCAGUAAGUAGUAUGUAAAAAGUAUAGC